UCAUUCAUCGUUAUUUCAAACAAGAGUGUGCAAAGAUCAGAAUCCUGCUUGUAUUACUGGUGAUUGGCCUGGCAACACAGUCUUCAGAAUUAAUGAAUGAUGUGUGAGUGAAUAAUGUUCAAAAGGUCUCUUAAAGGAGAACCAUCCGGUUGGUUUUUAAAUUCCUCUUUCUUAGAUCCAGUUGUUUUAAAAGGACUAGCACGACUAUUGUCCAGUGCUCUUUUUGUAUACAUACGUCAGAAGAUUUGCAGCAGGAAUUAAUGGACCUGCGUGAACAGCUGCGUAGUCUGCAAGCAUUGAAUGAUCAGCUGAGAAGUCGAGCAUCACCAUCCAGUGGACAUGUUUCAAAUCCUUCUGCCUCCACUAAUUUCAAUACUCCUCCAAUGUCUCUUAACAGGGUGCUGUAUGUUGAUAGAGGGAGAAAGUGCCCACGUUUCUAUGGACAUUCUGAUUCAUCAACUAAUAACUGGCCAUAAACUGUAGUGAAACCUUUAUCACCUGUACAAGCAGUUUUAUUACAAUUCACAGAUACCAAUGUUCACAUAAAAUAAAUAUCCAAAACAGCAUCCAAAGACCAACCUCAUUCAAGGAAAUAGAAUAACACCUUUGACACGCCACAGGGCACAACUAUCAGUGUGAAAAUAUAACCACUAAUUGAAUGCCAAUGCAGCACAGCACUCGAAAGGAUAUACGGAUCACCAGAAACCACAGAAGAAUCCCCACCACCUCACCAGUGCCAGUCACACCCAUGGAGGAUACCCUGCAGCCACCAAUAAGUCAGAAAGGAGGCCAAUUUAAAAAAAAAGAUUAUUGUAAGUACCUUGAAUUGAGCAUUAAAUUCUUUAUUCCAAUCAAAUACCUUUUAAAAUAACUGGAUCUAAGAAAGAGGAAUUAAAAACCAACCGGAUGGUUCUCCUUCAAGAGACCUAUAAAACAAACCUUUAUGAAACACACCAUCUUCAUAAAUGUUCAUAAAUGUUCAUGUUCAUGCACACUCUUGUUUGUAACAUCAAUGGAUGAAGGAGAAGAGAGAAGCUAUAUUACUGUGAAUCUAUUUAUAGCAGGUGCAGAUGUUAUUAAGCUACCCCACCGACUUAUGGGAAGUGUAGUCCCAAACUCAUUCAUCACCCUGUUGCAAUCACAAAUCUAGUUCUGUCAUUUUAAUAGCAAAUGUUAAACAAUAAAGAAUAAAAAAAU